rnacentral:rRNA from 1 species
GCAAGUCGUACGUGAAAGAGGACUUCGGUCCGUGAUUAAAGUGGCGCACGGGUGAGUAACACGUGGAUAAUCUACCCGACAAUACGGGAUAACAUUUCGAAAGGGAUGACAAUACUGAAUAAGCCCACGACGUCUUCGGACGCUGUGGGAAAAGGUGGGGACCUUCGGGCCUACCGUUGUCGGAUGAGUCCGCGUCCCAUUAGCUAGUUGGUAGGGUAAUGGCCUACCAAGGCUACGAUGGGUAGCUGGUCUGAGAGGAUGAUC